CUCAGUAACACGUGGAUAACCUGCCCUUAGGACUGGCAUAACCCCGGGAAACUGGGGAUAAUUCCGGAUAGUUCAUGGUAGCUGGAAUGCUCCAUGAUCGAAAGCUAUUGCGCCUAAGGAUGGGUCUGCGGUCUAUCAGGUAGUAGUGGGUGUAAUGUACCUACUAGCCGACGACGGAUACGGGUUGUGGGAGCAAGAGCCCGGAGAUGGAUUCUGAGACAUGAAUCCAGGCCCUACGGGGCGCAGCAGGCGCGAAAACUUUACAAUGCGGGAAACCGCGAUAAGGGGACACCGAGUGCCAGCAUCUUAUGUUGGCUGUCCGCAUGUAUAAAUCACAUGUGUUAGCAAGGGCCGGGCAAGACCGGUGCCAGCCGCCGCGGUAACACCGGCGGCCCGAGUGGUGGCCACUAUUAUUGGGUCUAAAGGGUCCGUAGCCGGUUUGGUCAGUCUUCCGGGAAAUCUGACGGCUUAACCGUUAGGCUUUCGGGGGAUACUACCAGGCUUGGGACCGGGAGAGGUAAGAGGUACUACGGGGGUAGGAGUGAAAUCUUGUACUCCUCGU
rnacentral:rRNA from 1 species